AGGGCGGCCCCGCACCGGGCUCCCCGCGGAGGGGCGCCCCCGGCUGGCCGCGCAGUGGAGAGACGCUGCAGAGAAGCUGGGAGGGAAGCACUAACGCGCGUCUCGCCCAGGAGAGCGGUCGGUGGGCUCGAAUUGGACAUUCCCAGCGCCUCGCUGGUCCCAUGGAAAUGGAGAAAUAGCUUCGGGAAGUACACGGUCUCUCACUGUUGUGGCCUCUCCCAUUGCGGAGCACAGGCUCCAGACGCGCAGGCUUCAGUGGCCAUGGCUCACGGGCCUAGCAGCUCCGUGGCACGUGGGAUCUUCCCGGACUGGGGCACGAACCCGUGUCCCCUGCAUCGGCAGGCGGACUCUCAACCACUGUGCCACCAGGAAAGCCCAUGUGAGCUGUUUUAUAGGUACUGAAACCCCCACCAGGUAGAAGUUAACUACAUGAUGACCAGACUGUAGCCAUGACAGAAGCUGCCACAAUUCUGAGAAUUGGCCUCAUGGAAAUGGGAACAAACUGACCCUGGAACUGAAGAUUAACUGUACUUAGAACAAUCAAGAUGAUGCUGGUCAGACCACCAAGGACCAAUUUCAAGAUGACCAUCAGAGCUGACUGUGCUGUCUCUGCAUGUAGCCCCCUCCCUCCGUCUAUAAAAGCUCUUGCCCACUGCUUGUCAGUGGAGGGGAGUCGGCCUUUGGACAGGAGUCUGCCCUUCCCCUUCCCCAGACCCCGCCAUUGCCAGCCUCAGAAAUAAAGCAAACUUUCCUUUC